rnacentral:rRNA from 1 species
GACGAACGCUGGCGGCGUGCCUAAUACAUGCAAGUAGAACGCUGAAGGAGGAGCUUGCUUCUCUGGAUGAGUUGCGAACGGGUGAGUAACGCGUAGGUAACCUGCCUGUUAGCGGGGGAUAACUAUUGGAAACGAUAGCUAAUAUCGCAUAAUAGUAGAUGAUGCAUGACAUUUGCUUAAAAGGUGCAAUUGUAUCACUACCAGAUGGACCUGCGUUGUAUUAGCUAGUUGGUGAGGUAACGGCUCAUCAAGGCAACGAUACAUAGUCGACCUGAGAAGGGGAUCGGCCAAACUGGGACUGGGACACGGGCCAAGCUCCCACGGGAGGGAGCAGUAGGGGAUCUUCGGCAAUGGACGGAAGUCUGACCGAGCAACGCCGCGUGAGUGGAGAAGGUUUUCGGAUCGGAAAGCUCUGUUGUAAGAGGAGAAAGAGUGUGAGAGUGGAAAGUUCACGCUGUGACGGUAUCUUACCAGAAAGGGACGGCUAACUACGUG